rnacentral:rRNA from 1 species
UUUUCAGAGAUGAGAAUGUGCCUUCGGGAACCGUGAGACAGGUGCUGCAUGGCUGUCGUCAGCUCGUGUUGUGAAAUGUUGGGUUAAGUCCCGCAACGAGCGCAACCCUUAUCCUUUGUUGCCAGCGGUCCGGCCGGGAACUCAAAGGAGACUGCCAGUGAUAAACUGGAGGAAGGUGGGGAUGACGUCAAGUCAUCAUGGCCCUUACGACCAGGGCUACACACGUGCUACAAUGGCGCAUACAAAGAGAAGCGACCUCGCGAGAGCAAGCGGACCUCAUAAAGUGCGUCGUAGUCCGGAUUGGAGUCUGCAACUCGACUCCAUGAAGUCGGAAUCGCUAGUAAUCGUGGAUCAGAAUGCCACGGUGAAUACGUUCCCGGGCCUUGUACACACCGCCCGUCACACCAUGGGAGUGGGUUGCAAAAGAAGUAGGUAGCUUAACCUUCGGGAGGGCGCUUACCACUUUGUGAUUCAUGACUGGGGUGAAGUCGUAACAAGGUAACCGUAGGGGAACC